GAAGGUAUAGCUCAGUGGUAGAGCACAUGCCUAACAAGCACAGGGUCCUGUGUUCAAUCCCCAGGACCUCCA
rnacentral:tRNA from 1 species